CAAGGAUCGGGAUAUAAACCCAGGCAUUGGAGCCUGCAACCUAACCCCCUUUGGGUCCCCUCCCCUGGUAUGGGAGCUUUGUUUUCACUCUAUUAAAUCUUGCAACUGCACUCUUCUGGUGCGUGUUUGUUAUGGCUGGAGCUGAGCUUUCGCUCACUGUCCACCACUGCUGUUUUGCCACCAUCGCAGACCCGCCGCUGACUUCCAUCACUCCGGAUCCGGUAGGGUGUCUGCUGUGCUCCUGAUCCAGCAAGGCGCCCAUUGCCACUCCCGAUCGGGCUAAAGGCUUGCCAUUGUACCUGCCCGGCUAAGUGCCUGGGUUGGUCCUAAUCGAGCUGAACACUAGUCACUGGGUUCCAUGGUUCUCUUCCAUGACCCACGACUUCUAAUAGAGCUAUAACACUCACCACAUGGCCCAAGAUUCCAUUCCUUGGUAUCUGUGAGGCCAAGAACCCCAGGUCAGAGAACACGAGACUUGCCACCAUCUUGGAAGUGGCCCGCCGCCAUUUUGGAAGUGGCCCACCACCAUCUUGGGAGCUCUGGGAGCAAGGACCCCCAGUAACAUUUUGGCAACCACAAAGGGACAUCCAAAGCGGUGAGUAAUAUUGGACCACUCUCGCUAAUGAAUUGGAUUAGUGCUGUUAUAAAUGAGACUCCAGGGAGCCUCCUCACCCAUUCCACCAUCUGAGGACACAGUAAAAAAGAUGGCUAUCAACUGAGAAGCAGACCUUCACCAGACACCGAUGAUGGUAGCAUCUUUUUCUUGGACUUCCUAGCCUUCACAACAGUGAGAAAUAUAUUACUACUGUUUAUAAGUCACCCAGUCUGUGAUAUUCUGUUAUUGCCACCUGAAAGGACUAAGACAGUGCUGUUGUAAGAAACAAAAUUAAGAGAUUUCUUCAACCAAGUAGAAAAUCAUGGAUGAUGUCAGAGGAGGCAUACUUAUAUCGGACUCAGUAAUACACUAUUUAGCUGAUAUUCAGUACUGUGCUGAGAUGAUGCACAUGAUGCAACUAGACCCAAUUCCAGAAAAUCUUGACCAACAGUCAAGAAAAAAUAGUGUGAAGUUACCACACUGUCUGAGUUCUGCCUUACCUAUGAACUACUCUUGAUUAUAAAGCACGCUAAUACAUUAGUCUUCACGGAAGCAUGGAGUAGGAUAGGGGGAACAACUAACACAGGAAAAUACUUGGAUUUCAGUGAGGCUGUCUGUUAAUAAAGAUGAGGGAAAGGGAUUAUCUACUAUGAGAAACAUAAGCAAUAUAAGAUAAUAAGGGGUUGGAGUAAAAAUAUUACCAGUACUUAGAGUAUUAAAUGUUUGUUGACAUUUAUGAUAGAAGGACUCUUAAAUAGACAGACAUCUGUAUAAUGGAUGUCCUUCAUUUCUUUUAUUUCAGUAAGCAAAGUUACCUCUUGUGAAAUUCUUAAUAAAAAAGAAACAUUAUAUUAAAACUUCCAGUUAUAUGCCCCAAUGCAAUACACACACACACACACACACACACAGAGAGUAUAUAAAUACAGAAAAUCUGGGAUUUGGCUCAAGGCGCCAAGGAGUCUUAUAAUAAACAAUUUGAAGAAUCCGAGAAUGAGGCAAGACUGAGAAGAUAUGCGCUGUGGAAUCUCCCAGGACAGAAGGCAUAGGUUGCAGCAACAAACUCAUUUGUUAUAUUUUGUCUAUUCUAUAUUUUCCUCUAUUGCUUCCUCUGCAAGUGGUUAAGCUAUAUUACUGUGAGUGGGAGGAACUGGGAUAAAAUUAAACAAGGUAUGUAUAUUUAGAGCUUUCUAUAAUGUUUGUCAACGUGCCUCUCUCUGCAGCUGUCAUGAAACAGAGCAUUGCUGGAUUCCCAUGACUUAUGGUUUGCCUAGUGCAAAUAAAAUUUCCUCAUGUUCUUUCAGGCAAACUGUGUUUAUCUUAAAUUACCCUGGUACACAUUGAAACGGGGAAGAACUGGAUGACUCAAAAGACUGAGGCAAUGUAGUAUAGAGAUAAAAUAAUGACUACAGUAAUACUACCUAUGUUGUGUUUAGAAGAAUCCCUGCACUUAAUAAGCACUAUGUAUGUGUGUGAUAAAUUUAAAAUAUACUUAAUGGAUAUCUUAAGUACAGAUUAUUACUUCUGGAAAUUUAGCUAGGGGGAAAAGAAGAGAGUUAGUGUUUGCAUGGGUAGGGGAAAGGGGGAACACAGGAAUUACUUAUUUAUAUAUUAUUUGAUUUUAUUUCAAGAUAGGAGACAUAAACAUGUUUAUAAACCGAGGUGAAUAAUUCAUUGGAAGGAGUGCAGAUUCUGAGGUCCCACUCACAGAUACUGAAUUUGAAAUUCUGAACAUGGGUAAAAUUCAUCUAUCUAUCUAUAUCUAUCUACAUAUUUGUAUUACAUAUUACGUACGCAUAUAUACAUAUACAUAUAUUUAUAUAUACAUUUCUACAAGAUUCUGAUGACUUAAUAAGGCCUACCUUGACUAUAUUGCUCAUCCACCACAGUCCCAACUCCUCUUGUCCUCUUAUUUUAUUUUUUCCAUAGUAUUUAUCAUGUUCUAACAUCCUACGUAGUUUAUCCAUUUAUUGUUUUUAGUCUAUUGUCUUUCUUUUCCCACUAGUACUUAAGUACUAAGAAGGCACUUUUUUCACUGCUAUAUUCUCCACACCUAGAAUAGUUCCUAGCUAUAGUAGAUUCUCAAUAAAUAUUUGUUAAAUACAUAAAUCAGGAAAGUGUAGGAACCACUUUCCCAGUGGAGGUAGAAAUAUAGGAGCCUAAACUGUGGCUAGGA
rnacentral:lncRNA from 1 species